GUCAGAGGGAUCACGAUCUUUCAGCUACUCUACUCCUAUGAUCGACUGCAUGUAACAGAGAUUCUAACGUUCAACGACAAGAGGAUUCUCAACGUCCACUCCAGGCUCACAGAUGCCAAACUGGCAUUAACUGGCGAGCCGUGCUGAGCGGCGGCAGCCUCUGCAUCGGAGAUUCCUGGUGGUGCGCUGCCCCAGGGGAGCGAGGAUAGCUUUGCAGUUCUCCAGCAGUUCGCCGAGGAGCAGCUGAGCGCCGACCAUGUCUUCAUUUGCUUCCACAAGAACCACGAGGACAGAGCCGCCUUGCUCCGGACCUUCAGCUUUUGGGGCUUUGAGAUUGUGAGACCCCUUGUCCCCAAGAGACCCGACACUUGCUUCAUGGCCUACACGUCGGGGAGAGAGUCUUUGGGCGAGGAGUAGUAGCGGCCGCAGCGGGACUGGGCAUCAAGCUCCUGGGGCCGCCCCGGCGUCUGCCGGGUGGGUGCGAACGGUUACCAUAUUGGACAACGCAACCACAGGGCCUGAAAAAUGAGUUGCUUGCCAGGCACGGUGGUGUGCACCUGUAGU
rnacentral:lncRNA from 10 species